UCGAAAGUACCAGCUUUCUAAGCUAGUAGAACUUUUUGUAGUUCUAAAAAUGAUCUGACAUCGAAUCUCGUCAGAUUUUUGGAUGGUUACAGAUAUUUGUAGAAGGCUACCAUCCCCCCUCUCGCAGCCUGACCGACUGAAAACAGACCGGAAGAGGCAGCCGCGGAGAGGCGGCGUUGGCGAAGGCCACCGGAGAUAUAGUAUCUUUAAUGCGGUCUCUCUCUAUCUCUCCCCCCCUCUCCCUCCCUCCCUCUUCUUCUUAAUUUCUCUGUAUUAUAAAAUCUACCGUGUUGAGGAAUUUUUCCUCUUUCUUCGCGAAUUUUUUAUGUUAGACAAGCUGUUUGGUUCCAAUUUCUUGCAGAAAGUUGCGCCACUGAUACAAAUCUUCUACCAUGGAUGGUACUGAAGACGGUUACGGAUUUCAUUGUUCUUUCUAAUGUCUUUUAUUGAAAAAGCUUACUUUUUGAUGCUUUGUGAACCCUGGCAAUCUUAUUUAGAAUGUUUCUUAGCAAUCUUCUGUUUCAAGGNNNNNNNNNNNNNNNNNNNNNNNNNNNNNNNNNNNNNNNNNNNNNNNNNNNNNNNNNNNNNNNNNNNNNNNNNNNNNNNNNNNNNNNNNNNNNNNNNNNNNNNNNNNNNNNNNNNNNNNNNNNNNNNNNNNNNNNNNNNNNNNNNNNNNNNNNNNNNNNNNNNNNNNNNNNNNNNNNNNNNNNNNNNNNNNNNNNNNNNNNNNNNNNNNNNUUGGAUGAAAUGGCCAGGAGAUGGAAGUGCUACACUGCUUUCACCUGACGGCAGCCCACAGGAACUAAGGCCCUGAUGGAUCGGGCUUUGGCAGCAGUGGCAAAACCCUCCAAGGCUCUGAUACCAAGUUGAUGUAGAACCAAUUCCGGAAGGAAUCUUCAGUGGGAUUUUAAAUCAGAAACAGAAGAAGAGGGAGAAGAGAAAGAGGAAGAGGAGGGGAAGAAGGAGAAGAGAAGAAGAGAGGAGGAGAAUACGUGGGUGGAGAAAAUUUCUUAAUUCUUCAUAAACCCUAAUCAAGAAAAUAGUUCCCUAUAUAUAGGGUCAAAUAAACACAAUUUGCAUGAAACCCCCCUUACGCAAAAAUAACUCCUAAUAAGCCCACAAAUAACACAAAUAAGCUCUAAAAUGCAAAUGAACCCAGAAAUAAAAUAAACCCUAAAAUGCAAAUAAACCCAGAAAUAAAAUAAACAAAUAUACAAAUAAAAUGGGGACCUAGCUGAUGUCCCCAUCAAUUAUUAAGGUAAUAAUAUCUUUUAUUAGCUGGUGUGUCUAAUUUUUAUUGAACUAGUUUAUAGAUGAGGUGGUAGAGUAAAGCCCUGUUUGGAGGAGCUGUGGGCAGUAGAGAUGUUGGAAGUAGAGCUGUCUGAAGUAGAGCUGUUAUAAAAAGCUGUUUGCUGUUUGGUAACUACAUUUGUAAAGUGUUGUGGUAUUGUAACAUAUAUUUGGUAAACAAAUUGAGAAAGCACUUUUGUAUGACAAAACUACCAUAAAGGACAUUGCAUAGUAUACAACAAAACAUAAUAAAACAUAAUAUAUAUUAAUAUAUAAAUAUACGAUAUAGUAUAAUAUUAUUGUAAUAUAAAAUAAUAUUAAUAUAAUAUAGCAUAAUAGUAAUACAAUUAUUAGAGUAAAUUAAUUUUGGAUAAUAUAACAUAAUAUUAAAUUAUUCAACAUAAUAUAUUAAUGUAAUAUGAUUUAACGUAUUAUAAUAUUAUAUUUAUAGUAUAAUACAAUAAUAAAGAUAUAAAAUAUUAUAAUUAUUAGUAUAAAUUAAUUUUCCAUAAUAUAACAUAAUAUUAAAUUAUUUAAAAUAACAUAUUAAUGUAUUACGAUGUAAUGUAAUAUAAUAUUAUAUUUAUGGUAUAAUACAAUAAUAAAGGUAUAAAAUAUUUUAAUUAGUAGUAUAAAUUAAUUUUUCAUCCUCUCAAUUACCAUUUAUCUCUCUAACAAUUUUUCUUGCGGAAGGGAGUCUGACGGCUAGGAUUCUUAGCUCCAGUAGACUUUUUAGAUUUAUGAAGGGACAAACUAUGUAAUUAUUAUAUUUUAAUAUAGGCAUUUUUGUCAAAAAUACAGCUUUCCGACAAAGUUGAAAACAAUAUUUUCGGAAAGCUCCAAAUUGGAGCUUCCCUCCAAAAGCUGUUUUCAGCUUUCCGCAAAAACUGAAACAGUUUUUCGGAAAUUUUACCAAACACCAUUUUUUAUCUAAAAGUACUUUUAGAGAACCAAAAAGUGUUUUUUGGCCCUCCAAAAGCGAGCCGAGCCGAGCCCGAGCCUGGGAAAGCUCGGCUCGGCUCGUUUCACAGUAGCUCGGGCUCGGGCUCGGGCUCGGGCUCGGUAACGUGCUCUAUAUUGGGCUCGGGCACGGGCUCGCUUGGUAAAGCAAAGGCUCGGGCUCGAGCUCGUAAAGCUCGUUUCAAUUACGAGCUCCUGAACGAGCCCGAGCUCGGGCUCGGUACGAGCUCGGUGGUCUGUUUCUUGUUUCCUUGAAACAGGCAUUCACCAUCUGUCACAGAAAAUUGAAUGACCUUCAGAAGGUUUUUGAGGAAAGUAGGUGAUUUCCAUCCUGAGAACCUGAGAAGAGUUGCAUAGAACUAUUAGAUCACUGUAUGUGCAUUUCUAGUCCNNNNNNNNNNNNNNNNNNNNGUGUAGCUCGGCCAACCCAUAUGCACCUAUUGGUAGGUUCUUAACCAAUUGCUUCACCAAGCAACUUCUAGUUAGGGCUGUUAACGAGCCGAGCCGAGCCCGAGCCUGGGAAAGCUCGGCUUGGCUCGUUUCACAGUAGCUCGGGCUCGGGCUCGGGCUCGGGCUCGGUAACGAGCUCUGUAUUGGGCUCGGGCUCGGGCUCGCUUGGUAAAGCAAAGGCUCAGGCUCGAGCUCGUAAAGCUCGUUUCAAUUACGAGCUCCUGAACGAGCCCGAGCUCGGGCUCGGGCUCGGGCUCGGUACGAGCUCGGUACAGGCAUAUAUUUUGUCAUUCAGAUCAUAUGAUAGUUGAAUUUUAUUUCUUGGUUUUAUCUUCUUGAUCACUGAAAUUUGCAUUUGUUGCUUGUUUAACAGAAACCUCACAACUUGAAAUUGGAAACAUAAGUACAUUAACUUAUUCUGUUGUUACAGAUGACAGUACAUUAUGAAUACUAAUAUUGACUCGACCAGUUUCAGAAUGAAGAAAAGAGGAGCCUCAUGAUGCUCCUUGGUCCUUGCUCACACUAGUAGGCAUUGUUGAGGUAGAAAUACAAGCCAGCUAGCCCUGCAACUCCAAGCACUAUGGCAACAGGUAACGCUUUCCUGAAAGCACAAGAGUAUCAAGAAUGAUAUAUAUAAGCGAGAUAUGCUUUCAAACACUCAGGAUCCACCCAAAAUUUCUUAUAGUUAGGCAAUUACCCAAUGGCUUCAUCUCUCUUCAUCUGAGCCUUCCUGGCUUUACGGGCAUCUGUGUCAUUUGCAUCCUUGGCAACUGAAGGUUCAUAUGGCCUGAAUCUCCGUUUGGGAGCCCCGCAGACUAUAAGAAAUUAAUUAGAAGUCAGGAAAUGCAUUCUCUCUCCAAUUCUAGCCAAUUCAAUCAUGGAAAGAAAUAUGUAAGAUUUCAACCGCUGUGGAUAAAAGAUCAGUUUCUUUUGGUGGAUUAGUGCUGAUUUUUUUAUCUUAAACUGGUGUUCGAGGAAAAGUUUGGUCAAACUAUGUAGAAAUGUAUAAAGAUCAUGUUGCUUGCAGUUUACUUUGCUGGAUGUAUAGAACACCUUAUGAAGCAAUGAGAUGGUACUUUAAAAUGCCAUGGGUUGAAAAGAAGAAGACAGCAGGAUGCUUAGAGAAGAGAUCUGAAACCAUGCAACAAGACUGAUUACAUGGGAAAGGAAUGGAGUGUUAAGAUCAAUCAAGGUGAAGCCAAAUAUAUCAGGGACAAUGCAUGAAGUAAUUAUGUAUUAAAGAUUGUAUUAUUUUAGGAGAUACUAGCAUCCUUAGCUUGACUAGAUAAAAUGAUUGAGGACAGUCAGAGUUGAAUGAUUUAAUCACAUACAAGACAACAAAAAUGAAAAAAAGAAAAAAGAAGGAAACUGGACAUGGAGAAGAAAAGGAUACAACUCACCAGGGCAGAAAUACUUAUCUGGAAGCUUCUCAAAGGGUGUUCUAUCAUUGUAUAUGUAACUGCACAUAAUUUAGAAACAAAUCACAGUUAAAAGACAUCUGAAUGCAUUAGUACUCAAUGCAGUAUCAGUAAAAGAAAGCUGAGGAGAAUGGAGAAUUAGGUUGGUGGGGAGAAGGGAUUAUGACCCGCAGUCGCGGCAGAUAUAGGCCUGCUUCGAGGCGACGCGCAUGGAGAACCUCGGGGCGGCGGCAGGAGCUUGUUGCAGGGGUGACAGCAGGAGCUGGACUGAGGGAGAGAAGAAGGCUGAUCGAAGGGCGCAGCGAUCGGAGGGUCCUCGCAGGCCAGUUUGGCUUGGUGGUGGAGAUAGUAGGGAUGGAAUGAUCCUUGUGGUGGUGCACCUGAGCCCUGCUGGUGCUUGAAGGGCCAUUGCUCUCUUCUGUUUUCCUCCUCCCUCUCAGGCUCUCAUGAAGGGAUAAGAGAUGAGAGUAGAAGAAGUGGGGAUAGUUGUCAUUUGCCAAUGAACUUUUUGUUUGUAUGAAGUGCAUAUAAGUAGGAGAGAGAUGUGGAAGCGUGGCUUCCAUGCUCCCUUUCACUCUUUAUCUUUGUUUAUUUUUUUGCACUUAGGCCCUUAAAUAUCUUUACGUUUAUGUCUAGCCCCUCUUCAAUAUCAUUACAUUCUCAGAAACGGCAAACUUGAGGCCAUUAAGGUUUGAACAUAAUCCUUACUUAUAAGGCCUUUUAUCUAAGGGCUAUGAUUGGGGGGAGUUGGGAAUAU
rnacentral:lncRNA from 1 species